rnacentral:tRNA from 1 species
AGAAGUUUAGGAUAAAUAAACCGAAAGCCUUCAAAGCUUUAAAUAGAAAUCAGCCCAUCUAACUUCU